AGCAGCCGCGGUAAUUCCGGCUCCAAUAGCGUAUAUUAAAGUUGUUGCAGUUAAAAAGCUCGUAGUUGAAUUUCGGGAUCAAUAUGUCUGUCGUGCCUUCGGUACGUACGGGUAUAAUUGGUUUCUACCUUCUGAUGAACCUUGAUGCCAUUAAUUUGGUGUCUUGGGGACUCAGGACUGUUACCUUGAAAAAAUUAGAGUGUUUAAAGCAGGCAUACGCUUGAAUACAUUAGCAUGGAAUAAUGAAAUAGGACGUUCGAUUCUAUUUUGUUGGUUUCUAGGAUCGACGUAAUGAUUAAUAGGGAUAGUUGGGGGCAUUAGUAUUCAAUUGUCAGAGGUGAAAUUCUUGGAUUUAUUGAAGACUAACUACUGCGAAAGCAUUUGCCAAGGAUGUUUUCAUUAAUCAAGAACGAAAGUUAGGGGAUCGAAGACGAUCAGAUACCGUCGUAGUCUUAACCAUAAACUAUGCCGACUAGGGAUCGGAUGAUGUUAAUUUUUUAAUGACUCAUUCGGCGCCUUACG
rnacentral:rRNA from 1 species